rnacentral:rRNA from 1 species
UACCGAGGGGGCAAGCGUUAUUCGGAAUUACUGGGCGUAAAGGGCGCGUAGGCGGCCGCCUAAGUCAGACGUGAAAUCCCUCGGCUCAACCGGGGAACUGCGUCUGAUACUGGGUGGCUUGAAUCCGGGAGAGGGAUGCGGAAUUCCAGGUGUAGCGGUGAAAUGCGUAGAUAUCUGGAGGAACACCGGUGGCGAAGGCGGCAUCCUGGACCGGUAUAGACGCUGAGGCGCGAAAGCCAGGGGAGCAAACGGG